rnacentral:lncRNA from 1 species
AAGGCUCCGGGAAAAGCUGAGCGGUGUUAACCUUUCUGCGUCCGUAGUAGUGAGGGCUCCUUACAUGUUUUUUGAAUGAUCAUUUAUUGAGCUCUAAAUUUUUUAACUCCCUGUAGACAUGUUACAUACAUUUCCUCAUUUAAUUUUUGCAACCACCUUUUGAAGUAGGUGCCAUUGUCCCGGUUUUGGAGGAGAGGAAAUCCAUCGAAAGAGGGAUGAGGUCCUACAACUGUGGCUUUUCCAAAGGGGACCAGCCAAUUCCACCUAGACUUAUCUGACGCCAAGUGAAUGAAAAAUUAAUUUUACAGAGGAAUUUCUUGUGCUUGCUUAUUUCAAAGAUCACCACUGUAUAUUUAUCUGAAAUGAAUAUUACUCCUAGAGUAGCCAUCACUUUUUUCUUUUUUUUUCAGAAAGAUCUCUUUGCUGAAAUAUAAAUAGUGCAGAGGAUAAAGCUAAUGCCAACACCCAGAAGUUACCAUUAUUAAUCUUAGGGCCAAUCUGGUGAGGAGGUAUUAUUAUCUGCAUUUGACAGGGGAGGAAACAAAUGUAUUGGGUAACUUGUGCUGGGUCAUAAAUUGCAAGAAACAAUGGAAGUGUUACAUCUCCUUUCUAAACAAGCUCUGAGUGAAUACAAUUGACUUUAUUUUCUAAGGUUUAAGUUUAUAUUUAAGGUCUUUUCUCUUUUUGAAGCACUGCCUUUAGCUUGCAAGCAACUGAUUUUGAAACCAAAAUGUAACUGUCUCGUUGAAGAUAAAGUGAGGACAGUCCUUAGGUUAAGAGCUGAAGAGUUAGAGCUUACAAGAGGAGCUAAGCAAUCGGGAGACUUAGAAAGGCACUGCCUGGCUGCAGUCAAACUGGAAAGUUCUUUGGUUAUAAAUUUUAUUGAUUUUGGAAGAAACAGACUUAAAGAGAGGAAACAUGGAGAGAGACUCUCGUCCCCAAACUUUUCAGUCAUAAUCAAGAAUAAAUUAGAAAAAGUAAGCAGUUAACUUCAGUUCUGGAUUUCCUUACAAAUACUUUUUUUUUUUUUUUAACUUACUAGCAAUUUCCCCCCCAUUUUUCUGGCGAAAAGAACAGGUGAUUACCUAGUAGAACAGCCACCCAUGGAACAAUGUUUAACACUGGACUCCAUUCAUAAGUAUGUGGCAGAACUACACAUGGAUGAAGGAAGAAAGCAGAAGAAUAGCAGAAUGGAACAAAGGUUGUCCUGGGAAAGAAUAAUAAAUUAUUUUCCAAAAGAAGGAGGAAGAUUAGCCCUGAGCUAACUGCUGCCAAUGCUCCUCCUUUUGCCCAGGAAGACUGACUCUGAGCUGACAUCCACGCCCAUCUUCUUCUACUUUAUACGUGGGGCCCCUACCACAGCAUGGCUUGCCAAGCGGUGCCGUGUCCGCACCUGGGAUCCGAACCUGCGAACCCCGGGCUGCCAAAGCAGAACGUGCGAACUUAACUGCUGCGCCAUCAGGCCGGCCCCUAGAGCAUAUUUUUAAUAUGGUUAUAAAUUGGAAAUUGCACUAAGUAUUUUUGAGUGUUUCAGUGAGAUAUGAGACAUCUGAGAAUAAAUUUGAUGAAGUUCUGAAAAAAAUCCUUAAUUUUUGGAAAGCUGAACUUCUAAAACUAUAAAUACCAUUUCAUCUAACCUCUUCCCAGAAAGACUAUUCCAGAGUUGGUGAACUACCUUUGGUUCCCCAUUUUCAAAGAUUUCCAGUCAUUUCUCAGUUUACAAUGGAAAGAGCUUUGUAUUUCAGUAUUUCUUACAUUGGUGGUUGGCUGUUGGAGUUGUAUGAGGGUUAUGAGAACAGAGCACUCAACAGCUGUCUAUUGAUGAUGGUGGCAUGUGUCAUCAACCUUACAGAGCUAAAUGCAAAUGUUUUAUAUCCCCUUAAGCAGCUCAGUUAUUCUCAAAUAUUAGUGUAUGUAAGAAUAAUCUGGGAGAAAUUAUUUAAAAUACAGACUCCUGCGUCCUAUAACUCUCUCCUCCAGAGUU